CGCGGCGGGAAGGGGAGGGUCUCGCCCGCCCCGCGCCUGCGCCUCAGCCCUGCCCUGCGUCUGCGCUGCCGCCGGAGCGGGGAGCGGCUGCGCCUGCUGCAGCCAUGCGGCCGCCGAGCUGCUCUCUCGCCCGCGGUCCUCUUCUGCUGACGGUGUUGGUGCUGCCGUGGCUCGGCGGAACACGGGCUCAGGACACCUGUGCACCUCCUGAAAGGCUGACAUAUGCAGAGCCUAAGGAGGAUAUCAGCACCAUGAAGGACUUCCCUGUUGGAACCACAGUGUCCUACACCUGCAGGCCAGGGUAUGUGAGAAUCCUUGAAAAACAGUUAUCUCGUACCUGUGGUAAGGACUUGGAGUGGUCACCCAAGGAGCAGUUCUGCACAGAGAUGAAAUGCAGCCAUCCAGGAGACUUAGAGAAUGGUGCUGUUACUGUGACAGACCUCAAAUUUGGUUCAAAAGCCACUUUUUCCUGUGGAGCAGGGUUCAGGUUAGUUGGAACUAGUGAAGCUACCUGUAUAAUUGUGGAUAAAGGUGUUGCAUGGGACAGAGAUCUUCCUUUCUGUCAAAAAAUUCCUUGCAAGCCACCUCCUGACAUAGCCAACGGGCACCACACCGAAGCAGCUGAGUAUCUGUAUCAAACAUCAGUAACCUACACCUGUAAUGAUGUACCCAGAGGCUCAGAUCCCUUCUCACUCAUUGGCUCAGCUACUAUUGUCUGCACAUUUAAUCAAGACACGCUGGAUGGAGUUUGGAGUGGACCACCUCCAGAGUGUAAAGUGGUCAAAUGUACUGCCCCAAGAGUUGAAAAUGGGUUCAGAAGAAGUGGACUUGGGUUCUCUUUCACCUAUAAUGACUCGGUGGUGUUUGAGUGUAAUCCAGGCUAUUUCAUGGUGGGAUCAAACGUCGUUACCUGCACAAAAGAUAGCACCUGGUUUCCUCCCACACCAACUUGUAGGGAAGUUACUGAGAGUGGCUGUGAUGCCCCAAAGGUCACACAUGGAGUAGUGACUCCAGAGAAAUCUGUGUAUGCAACAGGAGAAUCAGUUCAGAUCAGGUGCACUGCUCCCUGUACCUUCCCUGGUGGUGCUGAAGAGAUGACAGCCACUUGCCAAGGACAGAAUACAUGGAGUCCUUUACAAGACUGUGCAUGUGAGGCAGAAGGUUCUGGUUCCACUCCUCACAUUCAUAAAGGUAGAGUAGUUGAUGGACAAAAACCUUCUUACACCGUGGGAGAUUUUAUUACCAUCGAGUGUUACGCAGGCUACACCUUACAUGGUUCAGCUCGGAUCCAGUACAUUGGAGGGAACCAGUGGGCUCCUGAAGUGCCAACUUGCCACUUGAGUGCAUAUAUUACGGCCAUCAUCUGUGUGAUUGUGGCAAUUGUGGUGAUCCUGGCAGCCUUCUGGAUCUAUAAGAAAUUCUUUUCACAGAAUGGCUUGUGCCCUCAUCAGCUCAACUCCUUAAAGCAGAGGCAGGAACCAACAGCAAAAUCGGACUGCGUCACAGAUGUAACAUGACCAUCGGCAAAACAAGUGCAGGAAGAGAUCAUGGCUGUCUCGUCAGUCAGAGAGCCUGCCCUCGGGCCCACCGAUGCUGCUGCUAUUCCUGCUGUUCCCCUGCUCUGCGGAACUGGCGCUGCAGGAGGCAAGGAUGCUCCAAGGGAGCCAGCUACAGCCAGUGAGGCUCAGCUGCUGCUCAGCGGACAGGCUGCUGCCGGAGGAACGGAGCCGUCGGGUGCAGUGUGUUUGAGCCGGUUCUGAGCCCAGCAGUUGUUGCUAAACAACCAGACCUGACGCCGGAGAUGUCAAUGAGGGAAGUAAUGCAGAUUAAAUGCUCCUGCUACCCUCCCCUUCAACUUGGUUAAGCCUCGAUGGGAUGAAAGGCUAUGGAAUAAUGUUCCUGUGCCAUACAAGAAAGCAAAGUUACCACUCCACUGCAUAAUCGGGAGAGACUUCCUCGGCCAAGAAGGACCAAGCCCAAAGUUGGUUGUGUCCUCAGCACUUCCAGCCAGAGCUGCCAUCUUCACUGCUUUGGGUGCUUUAAGAAGAGAGGUGGAAAAAUAGCACAGUAAAUGGUCAAGAGAGAAAAAUAUUCUCCCUGUCAUUUCCUCAGCCUCUCUCUGUGGAGCUGCUCUCUGCCCUCGCUCUCCCAUUCAUCCUUAUCCAGUCCUUCCCAAUCCUUCAGUCCCAGCUUUCUCAUGCUGUUCCUUCUUUUGCAAACCUUUACAGCCCCAUCAUCUGGAGCUGUUUUCAGCUCCACCUGAUGUUACCAGGCCUGUGGCAAACUCACACUUGAUGCUAACAAAAGCUGAGUUUGGCCAGGAGUGGGUUUUCACUUCUCUUAAUUAUUCCCACAGUGUAAUUUCCAGGUGCAGUCCCUGUCCCGACCAGUUUCCAGUCCUGCCACCGCUUCAGCAUCUCAGAAGGCAGAAGGAAGAAAGUGAGGAGCAGAGCCCCAGACCCCACUGCGUUCCCCUUCCCCACGGUGUGCGGCUCUGACAUGUCACUGGCACCACAACGUAGAGAAACCAAACCUCUCAGGUACCCACACGGGUGCCAGGUCCAGACCGAGGAGUUGACUGCUCCCUGCCCUCCUGCUGCCCCUGCCCGAGGGGCUCCGGCAACCACUGGGAGCCGCGGGAAGCCACCGGCAGCAGGCAGAGAGCUGCCGGCACUUUGAAGCGAGUGAAAUCAACGUUGAGAUUUGACACUCAGCCCUCGACCAAUCCGGGAGGGCUUUUCACCUGCCAUCCUUUCCUCGGCCAAUGGGAGAGCAGCUCUGGGCUGAGAGCCCUCCCCGGCCAAUGGGGAGCCAGCUCUGCCACUUAGUUAAUGAUGCAGCAGUACAGGGAAGACUAUCACAUGUGAGCUGGACCGCUGCCAACAUGGAGACACGGAGAGAGCAAGGUAAACAACUUUCCAACGCCAAAAUGAUGACAUUUAAUCCCUAAAUGCUAGCUUCCCGUCUCGACUCAUCCUUAACCCCUUUCAGCUAGGCUGGAAGCCUCUGGAAGGCACCAAUCUACCUGUCCCCAGUGCUUUUAAAAACUGGCCGAGGUGCCCUGCAAUGAUCACUGCGUCACCGUUUGCCACUUGCCCAACUACGCAGUGACAAAGCUCCCGGCUCCGGAGCGCCCGUUAACCCUGCCACCCAAAGCCUCGCCAGCAUGCCAGCCUCUGGAGAGGGAGAGAGACAGGGGGGGUGGUGCUGCUGGUGGAAAGGAGUUGGGAGGAGGGGGGGGGGGGGGCAGGAUAAAAAGCCCAAGCAAAACACACAAACAGCAGUCUUUGCAAAGUUGUCAUCUCUCCCCCACGGCUGCUGCCCUCCUCUGCAGCACGGCAGUGCCAGCGAGAGCCACAUCAGUUCAACCUGUGCCGUCGCUCCAUUGAGAAAACAGCUCUGACGCAGAACACAGCAACCAUCCCCAGCCAAAAUCCUACCGGAGGCGCUCCGGGAUCCCAACUUAGGCACAGCCCCGGGGAGGAAAGGGGACACCCUUGCAGGUCAUGUAAAAGCCGUAGCUGCAGCUCCAGCCCCAUCCUGAGCAAAGGGUACGUACGUGGGAAAGCCGAACCGGACCGAAGAGCUCUGCCCGUGCACCAGCUGCGCAGUCCUCAGCCCUCCGCUCGCCGGCUGGCGCCGCAGAAGAGAAGCUUCCAGAAAUUUCCUUGCCGUUAACCCUUGCGCUGUCUGCCCACUCUCCCUCCCCGUGGGAUUAAACGCGCCGGGGCUCCAGCAUCGUCAAAUGGGUGAAACCUCCUACGCCAAGCGAGCCCCGAUACCAUCUCUCAGGGACAGUGGCUGGUGGCAGGAGCCCUGUGCCCAGCGUCUGAAGAGCCUGAGCUAUUUUGGGAUUUGUCUGUACUACACUGAAAAUGACACCUGUUACACUCAGGCACAAAUGAGAGGAAUUGCAAGCCCCUGGCUUCUCAGGAUCCUACAGGAAAAGAAGAUCCUAUGAGCUGAGGACCUGGGAGAGUAGCCCAGAAGAUCCUGUGAGCAGGGUACCUGGGAGAGCAGCCCAGCAAAAAUAUAAUGAAGAAGAUCCUGUGAACUGGGAACCUGGCAGACUAGCCCAGAAGAUCCUAUGAGCUGGGGACCUGAGAGAGAAGCUCAGCAAAAAUACAAUGAAGAAGAUCCUAUGAGCUGAGGAUCUGGGACAGCAGCCCCGAUCCUAUGAGCUGGGCACCUGGGAGAGCAGCCCAGAAGGUCCUACAAGCUGGGCAUCUGCAAGAGCAGCCCAGGAGGUCCUAUGAGCUGGACCCCUGGGAAAGCAGCUCAGCAAAAAUAAAAUGAAGAAGUUCCUAUGAGCUGGGGACCUGGGAGAGCAUCCCAGAAGAUCCUACGAGCUGGGCAUCUGGAAGAGCAGCCCAGAAGAUCCUGUGAGUUUGGGACCUGCAAGAGCAGCCCAGAAGAUCUAUGAGCUGGGGAUGUGGGAGAGCAGCCCAGAAGAUCUGUGAGCUGGGGAUGUGGGAGAGCAGCCCAGAAGAUCUAUGAGCUGGGGAUGUGGGAGAGCAGCCCAGAAGAUCUAUGAGCUGGGGAUGUGGGAGAGCAGCCCAGAAGAUCUUACAAGCUGGGCACCUGGGAGAGCAGCCUGGCUUUUUGGUGUGAGGUGCUGGGGGUGACCCUGCUGAGCUGAACAGUGAGCCAGCAGUAGGGAAAAAAAAAAGUACAAGGCCUACUGUAGCUGAUGCAAGGGGAAAUCAGACCUCCAUGUGACCAGAAGAAGUAGUGCUUGAUCAACUAAAUGCCACCAGACAAGGUUUCUUAUGCAACCAAACCCAUGGGACUCCAAGGCUCACACACAGCCUUUGUGGCCAAAGCUGCAACGUUAACUACUUCGGUUAGGGAGGCUGCAGCAGGCAGAGCACAGCGGCUACUCGAAUGAGUCACCCCCACGGUGAUGCUCGCUGGAGUAGGUUGGUGUUUGCUAUCUCUGCUAGUUUCAGUUACCCCCUGAGUCAGCUCAGAAGCUCUCACAAGCAAGGGCAGAGUGGGUUUCCCAUGUCCCACGUCACCAUGCGCUGUGCAGCGAGCCCGGGGCCGUCUCGCUGGAGCCAGCAGACCCUGCAAAGCUCUGAGCGUGACUGCACCCAGCACUGGAGCAAGAGAAGAGCCUCAGAAAUGGGACAGCUCAGGGUGAUUUUGGCAGUCUUGUGGCGUAUUAAGAAAGUAAAAUGGAGCUUUGAUUGCUUGCAA